GGGGAUGUAGCUCAGUGGUAGAGCACUUGCCUAGAAUGUGCAAGGGUCCACAGCUUCAAUCCUCAGUCCACUGCCC
rnacentral:tRNA from 1 species